UUCCUCAUACUUCUAGCGCUACUGGGCUUCACGAAAGCCGUACCAGAGUCAGCAGCUAGUAUCACACUGUGAACGAUAUCGGGGACCCCGUUGCUGGUAAGGCCAAAUACGAUCGUACACAUAUUGUUCGCCCUGAGAGAGUCAAGUUCGAGCAGUCUGCAUACGAGAUGGUCACCACGACGUCGCUUUGGCUUUUGACUUUCCUCUUCGCCGUACACCUGGCGUCAGCAGAGGAUGUCAUGGAUGACGCGGGGGACGAGAGAAAUGCGACCUCGCCGGCCACGCGGACGACUCUCGAGCGGCUCCAUGGGUCAACCUGCCAGGUGACAGAGAUGAGCUGGAACGUGCAGGGGAUUGGUGAACUAAUCCGUGCAGCGCAAGAGGAGAAAGGAAGUAGACACGAGAUCUUCAGCGGGCCCUUUGUAUUGAACGGGUACACGGUGUGCAUGUCCUUAGAUGCAUGGGGUUACGAUAUCUAUGUCUUCCUGGAAUUGUUUUUUAGUCUGUGCAAAGGUCCUGAUGACGAUUUCCUCGCAUGGCCCUUCAGGACUCCUUACACUCUUACCCUCUUACACCCAACGACGAGUAGGAUGGACAUCUCGCAGACAUACUCUGUAUUUUCACCUGAAGAGAUGCACCACUUCCAGAGACCAAAAAAGGGUUGCAACAUUAUGAAUGGAUUCCGCAUGAUGAUAUCAGUAUCGUCAGCUGAAAAGCAAGGCUACAUAGUGGACGAUGCCGUUUCUGUUCGCGUUAAGCUCAAUCUGUAAAUCAAGACAAGGGCGAUGAUUUCACGUUUGUUUACACCAUCGUUAGCUGGGCUACCCGUUCUUUUUUCGUACGCAUGCAUGCUUUCUCGCUUUGGGGCAGUUACUGACUUUCUUUUCUCUUCUUUCUUUUUCUGUGCUGUGCGAAGUUAGUCCUCGAACUACAAACCGCCGACGUGCCCCAACUCCCUCGUUCUAUUAACGGCGGUAUACCACUUUUAGAUCAAUCAAUCAAUAAAUAACAACUGUACUCAACACGCUCUUGAAUACGGGGGCGGGGGCAAUUUGUGAACAGUUGGGGUUUUUCGUGUCGCAUUUUUUUAUACACCGAUGUUCAUCUGGAAAGGCUGCCGGAAAACCCGGCGAAAAUCUCCCAGAACACAGCUGGUGGUAGGGAUUCGAACCCAACACCUACCACCAUUCAGCACGGCCUUGGCUAUGCCGGCAAGCAGUGGAUGUCUUUACCCGCAAAGCUAUCAAAUGUACAACCUACAUACGCAAAGGAAGCUGCCAUUUUCCUAAGACACAUGACGGAUGUAAUUAAAGCAAGUACAACUGCCAGGAUGCAUCGAUGAUAAGAUUGUCCAGAGCACACUUCCACCCUAGAACUCCAUGCUUCCUCACAUUUCUAGCGCUCUGAGAUUUACGAAAGCGGUCGCAGAGUCUGCAGCUAGUACCACACUUUGAACGAUAUUGGAAAAAGGCUAAAUACGAUCGCACACAUAUUCAUCUCCCCGAGAGAGUCAAGUUCAAGCAGUCUGCAUACGAGAUGGUCACCACGGCGUCGCUUUGGCUUUUGACUUUCCUCUUCGCCGUACACCUGGCGUCAGCAGCGGAUGUCAUGGAUGACGCGGGGGACGAGAGAAAUGCGACCUCGCCGGCCAUGAGUCCGGAGCCGCUCCACGGAUCAACUUGCAAGGUGACACAGGUGAACUGGCACGUCGGAAAUAUUCGCGAACUAAUUAGUAGAGCGGAGAAGGCAGCUCCAAACAGCAUCAAAUACUGGUACACCAGCAAACCCUUUGUAUUGAACGGAUACACUGCGGAAAUGACCUUCGAUGCAUUCAAUACCGGAGACGGUGUCUGGCUGGAUUUGUUCUUUGGCCUCUGCAAAGGUACUGCUGACGAUUUCCUCGCAUGGCCCUUCAGGACGCCCUUCACUCUCACCCUCUUACACCCAACGACGAGUAGGAUGGACAUCUCGCAGACAUUCUCCGCAUUUUCAACUGCCACGUUCCCGAACUUCAGGAGACCAAAAGAGGGUUGCAACAAAAUGCAUGCAUUCCGCAACAUUAUAACAGCUUCGAAAGCUGAACACGGAAGCUACAUAGUGGACAAUGCCGUUUCUGUUCGCGUUCAGCUCAAUCAGUAAAUAAAGACAAGAGUGAUGAUUUCA